GGCCCUGUAGUGUAGUGGUUAUCACCUCGGAUUCUGACAUUCGUAGCCACCUUCCGGUAACGGCGGUUCGAGUCCGCCCAGGGCCU